GCCGCUGCAAAAUCAGUGGCUCGGGUUUGGUCGCCCGAUUUGUAGAAGGCGCAGCAUGCGCUUAACAGCGCUUUUUUU
rnacentral:sRNA from 1 species